GUCUGCGGCCAUGUCACCCUGAACAAGACCAAUGUCUGAUCUCAAACUAAGCAAGGUCAGGCCUGGUUAGUACUUGGAUGGGAGACCGCCUAGGAAGACCAGGUGCUGUAGGCA
rnacentral:rRNA from 1 species